rnacentral:tRNA from 1 species
GGCCCGGUAGCUCAGUUGGUAGAGCACUUGAUUGAAGCUCAAGGUGUCGGCAGUUCGACUCUGUCCCGGGCCA